rnacentral:lncRNA from 10 species
GUGGUGGCUCAUGCCUGUAAUUCCAGCACUUUGGGAGGCCGAGGCAGGUGGAUCAUGAGGUCAGGAGUUCGAGACCAGCCUGGCCAACAUAGUAAAACCCUGUCUCUACUAAAAAUACAAAAAUUAGCCAGGCAUGGUGGCAUGCACCUGUAGUCCCAGCUACUUAUGAGGCUGAGGCAGGAGAACUGCUUGAACCUGGGAGGUGGAGGUUGUGGUGAGCUGAGAUCGCGCCACUGCACUCCAGCCUGGGUGAGAGUGACUCUGGUCUUAAAAAAAAAAGAAAAAGAAAAAGAAAAAGAGGAAAAAAAAAGAUGCCCAUGUUACAUUGUUAGUCAUCAGUCACUGUAGAAACCUGCCUGGCAGUUCCUCAAAAUGUUAAACAGAGUUACCAUAUGAUCCAGCAAUUCACUCUUAGGUAAAUGCCUAAGAGAAAUUUAAAAAUAUGCCUACACAAAGACUUGUAUGUGAAUGUUCAUAGCAUUAUUCAUAAUAGCCAAAAAGUAUAAACAACUCAAACGUCUAUCAACUGAUGAAUGGAUAAACAAAAUGUGUUAUAUCCAUGCAAUCCACACAGUAUAUCCAUAGUGACACAUGCCACAACACGGUUGAACCUUGAAAACUUUAUGCUAAGUGAAAGCCAGACACAAAAGUACAUGCAUUGUAUUAUUCCAUUUAUAAGAAAUGUCUGGAAUAGGCAAACCUACAGAGACAAAAAGUAGAUAAAUGGUUGCCAAGGGAUGGAGGGAAGAGGAAAUGAGAAGUGAUUGCUAAUGGUUAUGGGGUUUCUUUUUAGGUAAUGAAGAUGUUCUGGAAUUACAGUACUUACGGUUGCCUAUCUUUCUGUACAAAUAACACAUGGCUUUUGCCUCCUGACUGGAGCCUUUCAGGUAUACAGAGAGCCUACAAUUAGCUGCUGUUCAAGGAUCCAGGUGAGAGACAGGGAGGCUGGGACAGGGGUGAUCGCAGUGAAGAUGAAGAAGGACUGGCCAGAUCUCCAGGACUCAGUGACCAUUGGGAGGGGCUGCCAAGGCAAUAUGCACAGGCCAAAGACACAUUGGAAAAAUAGACAAAAGUGUUAGAAAUUGUUGAAAAGUACCUAUUUUGCCACUCUUAUUUCCAGCAACAGUCUAGAAUUUCUGGACUCCAAGGAAAAAAUACAAGUGGGUUCCAGGCCUGGCACAGUGGCUCAUGCCUCUAAUCCCAGCACUCUGGGAGGCCAAGGUGGGUGGAUCGCCUGAGGUCAGGAGUUCGAGACCAGCCUGGCCAACAUAGUGAAACCCUGUCUCUACUAAAAAUACAAAAAAUUAGCUGGGCAUGGUGGUACACACCUGUAGUCCCACCUACUCGAGAGGCUGGGGCACAAGAAUCGCUGGAACCAGGUGGAGGUUGCAGUGAGCCAGGAUCACACCACUGUACUCCAGCCUGGGUGACAGAGCCAGACUCCAUCUCAAAAAAAAGAGGAAAAAAAAAUACAAGUUGGUUCCUGUUUAAAGAGCUUCAAGAAGUUCUCAGAAAGUAUUCCUCAAGACAGUCCCUGGAGAGGCUGUAUGUGAAGGCCUACAAAGACAGACCUUUACCUCUACAAAGACCCUUUACCUCUCCAGGUUGGAACAAAGCCAUCUGCACUGACUUGGGCCCAUAUACCCUCUCUUCACUCACUGUUUCCCCUAUUGUUAACAUCCUGCAUUAAUGUGGCAGAUUUGUUAUAAUUGAUAGUACUGAUACAUUAUUAGCAAACGUUCAUAAUUUACAUUAGGGUUUACAUUAGGGUUCACUCUUUAUGCUGUACAUUCACUGGGUUUUCACUAAUGUGUCAUGAGGCACACCCACUGUUACAGUAUCAUACAGAAUAGUUUCACUGCCCUAAAAAUCCUUGUUCCACCUGGUUCAUCCCUCCCUCCCUUCCCUCUCCCCCACUCCUGGCCAUCACUGAUCUUUUCACUGUCUCCAUAGUUUUGCCUUUUCCAGAAUGUCACAGAGUUUGAAUCAUACAGUAAAUAGCCUUUCAGAUUGGCUUCUUUCACUUAGCAAUAUGAAUCUAGGGUUCCUCCAUAUCUUUUCAUGGUUUGAUAGUACAUUACUUUUUAAGCAAUGUGCUUAAAUGAAUAAUAUCCCAUUGUAUAGAUAUACCACUGUUUAUCCAUUCAACUAUUCAAGGACAUCUUUGUUGCUUCCAGGUUUCAGCAAUUAUGAAUAAAGCUGCUAUAAAUAUUUGAGUGCAGAUUUUUGUGGACAUAGAUUUUCAACUCAUUUGGAUAAAUACCAAGGAGCACAAUUGCUGGGACAUAUGGAAGCUUCAAAGAAAGUUUAUUCUCUAGCAGUCCAUGGUUGUCUGCCCCACCCUCUUCAGGCUCC